rnacentral:tRNA from 1 species
AAACUAUUAAUAAGUGUUUUGAAAACAUUUAAAAGACUUAACUGUCUAUGGUUUU